rnacentral:rRNA from 1 species
GACGAACGCUGGCGGCGUGCCUAAUACAUGCCAGUUGAGCGCUGAAGGUUGGUACUUGUACCGACUGGAUGAGCAGCGAACGGGUGAGUAACGCGUGGGGAAUCUGCCUUUGAGCGGGGGACAACAUUUGGAAACGAAUGCUAAUACCGCAUAAAAACUUUAAACACAAGCUUUAAGUUUGAAAGAUGCAAUUGCAUCACUCAAAGAUGAUCCCGCGUUGUAUUAGCUAGUUGGUGAGGUAAAGGCUCACCAAGGCGAUGAUACAUAGCCGACCUGAGAGGGUGAUCGGCCACAUUGGGACUUGGACACGGCCCAAACUCCUACGGGAGGCAGCAGGAGGGAAUCUUCGGCAAUGGACGAAAGUCUGACCGAGCAACGCCGCGUGAGUGAAGAAGGGUUUCGGAUCGUAAAACUCUGUUGGUAGAGAAGAACGUUGGUGAGAGUGGAAAGCUCAUCAAGUGACGGUAACUACCCAGAAAGGGACGGCUAACUACGUG